UACGUAGGGGGCAAGCGUUGUCCGGAUUUAUUGGGCGUAAAGAGCGUGUAGGCGGCUAGAUAGGUCCGUUGUGAAAACUCGAGGCUCAACCUCGAGACGUCGAUGGAAACCAUCUGGCUAGAGUCCGGAAGAGGAGAGUGGAAUUCCUGGUGUAGCGGUGAAAUGCGCAGAUAUCAGGAGGAACACCGGUGGCGAAGGCGGAUCUCUGGGCCUUACCUGACGCUGAGGCGCGAAAGCUAGGGGAGCGAACAGG
rnacentral:rRNA from 1 species